GGAGAACGGGAAGGAGAAGGGUGGGGAGAAGGAGAAGGAGCAGCGCGGCGUGAAGCGGCCCAUCGUGCCCGCGCUGGUGCCGGAGUCGCUGCAGGAGUCCUUGUUCAUCAUCUUUCAAGAAUGGAUUGUGAAAUGCAGCAAAGUUUUCUGACUUAGGAGGAUAGAAUUGUGAACUCCAGCUUUUCAACCCCAGACUCUUGCCAGAUUAGCAAAUCCAGAGCAACUUCAUUGUCGUCAUACAUCCAGGUUCAACAACUUUAAGGAUUGGUCGAGCCACGGACACACUUCCUGCCAGCAUUCCUCAUGUCAUUGCACGAAGACACAAACAACAGGGGCAGCCCCUAUACAAGGACAACUGGCUCCUAAGGGAAGGACUAAAUAAACCUGAAAGUAAUGAACAAAGACAAAAUGGUCUUAAAAUGGUAGAUCAAGCAAUAUGGUCUAAAAAGAUGUCAAAUGGUACAAGACGGAUUCCUGUGUCCCCUGAACAGGCACGCUCCUACAACAAGCAGAUGAGACCUGCGAUUUUAGAUCACUGUUCUGGAAAUAAGUGGACAAAUACAUCUCAUCAUCCUGAGUUUUUGGUAGGAGAAGAGGCUUUGUAUGUUAAUCCAUUGGACUGUUACAAUAUUCACUGGCCUAUUAGAAGAGGUCAGUUAAAUAUUCACUCAGGACCUGGGGGCUCCCUUACAGCUGUUCUGGCAGAUAUUGAAGUAAUAUGGUCUCAUGCAAUACAAAAAUACUUGGAAAUUCCAUUGAAAGAUUUAAAGUAUUAUAGAUGUAUCUUGUUAAUUCCUGAUAUCUAUAAUAAACAGCAUGUGAAAGAAUUGGUGAAUAUGAUCCUGAUGAAGAUGGGUUUUUCAGGGAUUGUGGUCCAUCAGGAGUCUGUGUGUGCCACUUUUGGAAGUGGUUUAAGCAGCACGUGUAUUGUAGAUGUUGGGGACCAGAAGACAAGUGUAUGCUGUGUGGAGGAUGGGGUCUCUCAUAGGAAUACUCGGCUCUGUCUGGCAUAUGGAGGGUCUGAUGUGUCAAGAUGUUUUUACUGGCUGAUGCAGCGAGCUGGAUUCCCCUACCGAGAAUGCCAGUUAACAAACAAAAUGGAUUGCCUUCUUCUGCAGCACCUGAAAGAAACUUUCUGUCAUUUAGAUCAGGACAUCUCUGGGCUUCAGGACCAUGAGUUUCAGAUUCGACACCCAGAUUCCCCUGCCCUGCUUUACCAGUUUCGAUUAGGAGAUGAAAAACUCCAGGCUCCCAUGGCUUUGUUUUAUCCAGCAACCUUUGGAAUUGUUGGACAAAAAAUGACUACUCUGCAGCACAGGUCCCAGGGCGACCCCGAGGACCCUCAUGAUGAACACUACCUGCUGGCCACACAGAGCAAGCAAGAGCAGUCUGCAAAAGCUACCGCUGACCGAAAGUCUGCAUCCAAACCCAUUGGAUUUGAAGGGGAUCUUCGUGGGCAGUCAUCUGACCUUCCAGAAAGACUCCAUUCCCAGGAUGUGGAUUUGGGAUCCUCCCAGGGAGACUGUCUGAUGGCUGGCAACGACUCUGAGGAAGCCCUCACCGCGCUGAUGUCCAGGAAGACUGCCAUCUCGCUGUUUGAAGGGAAAGCCCUGGGCCUUGAUAAAGCCAUCCUUCACAGCAUCGACUGCUGCUCAUCUGAUGAUACCAAAAAGAAGAUGUACAGCUCUAUCCUGGUGGUGGGAGGUGGUUUGAUGUUUCAUAAAGCACAAGAAUUUCUGCAGCACAGAAUUCUCAACAAAAUGCCACCUUCAUUCAGGCGAAUUAUUGAAAAUGUGGAAGUGAUCACAAGGCCCAAGGACAUGGAUCCCCGGCUGAUCGCAUGGAAAGGGGGCGCGGUGCUGGCCUGUCUGGAUACCACCCAGGAACUGUGGAUCUACCAGCGAGAAUGGCAGCGCUUCGGUGUCCGUAUGUUACGAGAGCGAGCUGCCUUUGUGUGGUGACCCAGAACGAGCCUCCGUAUAAAACACUCCUACAGAGGAUGGAUUUUCUAAUUUAUUGACCUGGAUGCUUCCGUUUCAUGGAAAAUAAAUGUAUUUUAACUUUUAUGUUGAGGACAUGACAUUGGUGUGAAAUUCCAAGCUGUUUCCGUGGUCACGACAUUUGAGAACCAGUGUCCUGUGCCCUCCUGCCCCAUCUCAGGGUCUCGGAAACUCCCCAGUGAUGUGAAAUGGUGGAGCAGGUGUCAGGCGGUGACUCUUCAUUUACAUUGACUUCUGAGUGUCACAGGACAGUCUCCUGUGACCACGAGGGUGGGCAUGUGACUUGGGGACCUGAAUUGUGAGAACUGUAUGGUCAUGACAUUUUCCCACCUGUGAUGUGACUCGUGUGUGCCCUUGGAAUGCUAAAUAGGAAAAUGUUUUACUCUUCUUUUUAAAACUUUUCUAUUGGAUUACAAAAACGAUGGGGCCCAUUCAGGUCUAAAUUUGCUGAAGCCAAGGUUUAAAGCUGGGUUGGCUGGCUUUUGUUACCCAGCAUGCUCUAGGGUAGGCUUGGGAAGAGAAAACAGGCAUUUGACCAAAAAAGAACAGAAGCAGAAAACGAAAAUUUGUUUCUUUCCUGAAGUCAAAUAGAAAUGCUUUAGGUAUAACUUAGAGUUGUUAGUGUAUGUUGUAUGGGUAAGCAAGGUGACUGCUACAAUUACUGCUGACUUAAUCAUCGCACCCCUGGUUUCCCUUUACCCGAAGAACCCAGUGAAAACACUCGGAGUUCUCUGUGUUCAGUACAAUUGGUUGACCUUAAUCUGUGCGCAGUCUGAAGCAAAAUGAUACAGACAGCUAUUGCCACCAGUGGCCCAGCCAGGCCUUAGUGACACCUCUGAGCCCUGGCCGAAGGAAGAGAAGGCAUUGUCACAGAAGACAGAGUGAGCACAGGCUGGGCUCCGAGACCCGGGAGGGUGGGCAGGUGCCGGGCUCUUGCUAGGCUCCUGCACUUGCCUCCAGUCGUCGUCAGGAGCUGGAGAUGGCGCUGGGGGACAGACAGGCAUAGGGACGGAAGGGGUAGAGGUGCGAGUGGAUGUAGAACAGGGAUGGCAAUCAUCUUAGGACACGGAGCAGUUCUGGUGACGGAGCAUUUCGCAUUGAUAAGAGCACCUCUACCUGCCCAGUAGUACUUUAACGCGCCGUGAAGACUGAUCUGGACAAAUAAGUGACCUUUACCACAUUAAACUUACUGCCUGAGUCAUUACUAAGUAUCUGCUGGUGAAGCUGGACACGGUGAGAUUUCACUCUGCUUAUUUUUUUGUUGUUGUUGUUUUUUGUCCUUAGGACAUGUAUUAGAAGGAGUGGCCUGGCCCUUUAAGAAUAAUCUACAGCCCUGGCCAGUUUGGCUCAGCAGUUAGAGUGUUGGCCUGUGGUCCAGAGAGACCCAGGUUUGGUUCCCACCAAGGGCACGUACC